GACGAACGCUGGCGGCGUGCUUAACACAUGCCAGUCGAACGCUGAAGCUCAGCUUUUGUUGGGUGGAUGAGUGGCGAACGGGUGAGUAACACGUGAGUAACCUGCCUCCUUCUUUGGGAUAACGCCCGGAAACGGGUGCUAAUACUGGAUAUUCACUGGUCUUCGCAUGGGGGUUGGUGGAAAGGGUUUUUCUGGUGGGGGAUGGGCUCGCGGCCUAUCAGCUUGUUGGUGGGGUGAUGGCCUACCAAGGCUUUGACGGGUAGCCGGCCUGAGAGGGUGACCGGUAACAUUGGGACUGAGAUACGGCCCAGACUCCUACGGGAGGCAGCAGUGGGGAAUAUUGCACAAUGGGCGCAAGCCUGAUGCAGCGACGCCGCGUGAGGGAUGGAGGCCUUCGGGUUGUGAACCUCUUUCGCUCAUGGUCAAGCCGCAACAAUGGUUGUGGUGAGGGUAGUGGGUAAAGAAGCGCCGGCUAACUACGUG
rnacentral:rRNA from 1 species